GGGGUCGAUUUGGUUUUGACAGCGAGUCGAAUUGAAUAGUAAGCACGUCGAGCGCCGGAAUAUAGCUCGUAAAUCUCAUGUUUCAGACUUUUUUAAACGGCGAAAAUAAUUACGCCUUGGCUGCAUAAUCUGAAUUAUAGUAAGAUUAGCUUAGUCCCUGUAAGACAGGGAGCCGAGAUGUCUCGUGAGGGCCUUAAUUUACGGCACUUGCAUUUGAGGCACCGAUAAAGUAAAUUUAGGUAUUCUGACGCCUUUAAGGAAUACCGAAAUUGAAAAGGCUAAGGAAAGAUUAGGCGGUUUUCUGCCAGAUUUUUCUCGAAAAUCCAAGUGAAAACUAAGCGUGUAGAAAGCUAUUGAAUUGCUUGUUUGGACGGGAGUUCGAGUCUCCCCGACUCCACUU
rnacentral:tmRNA from 1 species